UAACUCAGGGAAACCUGGGCUAAUACCGGAUAAUCCUUCGAAUCACAUGUUUUGAAGUUGAAAGGCGCUUCGGCGUCACUGUAGGAUGGGCCCGCGGUGCAUUAGCUAGUUGGUGGGGUAACGGCCUACCAAGGCAACGAUGCAUAGCCGACCUGAGAGGGUGAUCGGCCACAUUGGGACUGAGACACGGCCCAAACUCCUACGGGAGGCAGCAGUAGGGAAUCUUCCACAAUGGACGAAAGUCUGAUGGAGCAACGCCGCGUGAGUGAUGAAGGUUUUCGGAUCGUAAAACUCUGUUGUAAGGGAAGAACAAGUACGUUAGGAAAUGAACGUACCUUGACGGUACCUUAUUAGAAAGCCACGGCUAACUACGUGCCAGCAGCCGCGGUAAUACGUAGGUGGCAAGCGUUGUCCGGAUUUAUUGGGCGUAAAGCGCGCGCAGGUGGUUUCUUAAGUCUGAUGUGAAAGCCCACGGCUCAACCGUGGAGGGUCAUUGGAAACUGGGGAACUUGAGUGCAGAAGAGGAUAGUGGAAUUCCAAGUGUAGCGGUGAAAUGCGUAGAGAUUUGGAGGAACACCAGUGGCGAAGGCGACUGUCUGGUCUGUAACUGACACUGAGGCGCGAAAGCGUGGGGAGCAAACAGGAUUAGAUACCCUGGUAGUCCACGCCGUAAACGAUGAGUGCUAAGUGUUAGGGGGUUUCCGCCCCUUAGUGCUGCAGCUAACGCAUUAAGCACUCCGCCUGGGGAGUACGACCGCAAGGUUGAAACUCAAAGGAAUUGACGGGGGCCCGCACAAGCGGUGGAGCAUGUGGUUUAAUUCGAAGCAACGCGAAGAACCUUACCAGGUCUUGACAUCCCAAUGACCGUUCUAGAGAUAGGAUUUUCCCUUCGGGGACAUUGGUGACAGGUGGUGCAUGGUUGUCGUCAGCUCGUGUCGUGAGAUGUUGGGUUAAGUCCCGCAACGAGCGCAACCCUUAUUCUUAGUUGCCAUCAUUUAGUUGGGCACUCUAAGGAGACUGCCGGUGACAAACCGGAGGAAGGUGGGGAUGACGUCAAAUCAUCAUGCCCCUUAUGACCUGGGCUACACACGUGCUACAAUGGACGAUACAAAGAGUCGCAAACUCGCGAGGGUAAGCUAAUCUCAUAAAAUCGUUCUCAGUUCGGAUUGUAGGCUGCAACUCGCCUGCAUGAAGCCGGAAUCGCUAGUAAUCGCGGAUCAGCAUGCCGCGG
rnacentral:rRNA from 1 species